GAUGAACGCUGGCGGCGUGCCUAAUACAUGCAAGUCGAGCGAAUGGAUUAAGAGCUUGCUCUUAUGAAGUUAGCGGCGGACGGGUGAGUAACACGUGGGUAACCUGCCCAUAAGACUGGGAUAACUCCGGGAAACCGGGGCUAAUACCGGAUAACAUUUUGAACCGCAUGGUUCGAAAUUGAAAGGCGGCUUCGGCUGUCACUUAUGGAUGGACCCGCGUCGCAUUAGCUAGUUGGUGAGGUAACGGCUCACCAAGGCAACGAUGCGUAGCCGACCUGAGAGGGUGCUCGGCCACACUGGGACUGAGACACGGCCCAGCCUCCUGAGGGAGGCAGCAGUAGGGAAUCUUCCGCAAUGGACGAAAGUCUGACGGAGCAACGCCGCGUGAGUGAUGAAGGCUUUCGGGUCGUAAAACUCUGUUGUUAGGGAAGAACAAGUGCUAGUUGAAUAAGCUGACACCUUGACGGUACCUAACCAGAAAGCCACGGCUAACUACGUGCCAGCAGCCGCCGUAA
rnacentral:rRNA from 1 species